ensembl:snRNA U6 U6 spliceosomal RNA
ACUAUAUUUUCUUCAGUGCCAUGUAAAGUUGCAAAAUAUAGAGAAGAUUAGUUUGGUUCCUAUGCAAGGAUGAUAGGCAACACUGUGAAAUAUUUCAUAUUCUU